rnacentral:rRNA from 1 species
AACGAACGCUGGCGGUAUGCCUAACACAUGCAAGUCGAACGACACCACCGGGUGUAGUGGCGCACGGGUGCGUCGAGCGUCGGAACCUGCCCUUAGGCUUGGAAUACUUCUUUUUCGUGGGUGAUAAUAUAGGGAAACGUACUCUGAUAAAAGAUAGAUCGUACUUGUGGGGGCCCGCGUUGGAUUAGCUUGUUGGGAGGGUAAAAGCCUACGACGGCUACGCUCCAUAGCUGGUCAGAGAGAAUGCUCAGCCACACUGGGACUAGGACACGGCCCAGACUCCUACGGGAGGCAGCAGUGGGGAAUAUUGGACAAUGGGCGAAAGCCUGAUCCAGCAAUGCCGCGUGAGUGAUGAAGGCCUUAGGGUUGUAAAGCUCUUUUACCCGGGAUGAUAAUGACAGUACCGGGAGAAUAAGCUCCGGCUAACUCCGUG